GCCGGGUGUGGUGGCGGGCGCCUGUAGUCCCAGCUACUCGGAGGCUGAGGCAGGAGAAUGGCAUGAACCCAGGAGGCUGAGCUUGCAGUGAGCCGAGAUUGCGCCACUGCACCCCAGCCUGGGCGACACAGCGAGACUCUGUCUCAA
rnacentral:sRNA from 1 species